UUGGUGAGGUAAGGGCUCACCAAGGCGACGAUCCCUAGCUGGUCUGAGAGGAUGAUCAGCCACACUGGAACUGAGACACGGUCCAGACUCCUACGGGAGGCAGCAGUGGGGAAUAUUGCACAAUGGGCGCAAGCCUGAUGCAGCCAUGCCGCGUGUGUGAAGAAGGCCUUCGGGUUGUAAAGCACUUUCAGUCGUGAGGAAGGUGGUAGUGUUAAUAGCACUAUCAUUUGACGUUAGCGACAGAAGAAGCACCGGCUAACUCCGUGCCAGCAGCCGCGGUAAUACGGAGGGUGCGAGCGUUAAUCGGAAUUACUGGGCGUAAAGCGCAUGCAGGUGGUUUGUUAAGUCAGAUGUGAAAGCCCGGGGCUCAACCUCGGAAUAGCAUUUGAAACUGGCAGACUAGAGUACUGUAGAGGGGGGUAGAAUUUCA
rnacentral:rRNA from 1 species